UACGUAGGGUGCAAGCGUUAAUCGGAAUUACUGGGCGUAAAGCGUGCGCAGGCGGUUAUGCAGGACAGAUGUGAAAUCCCCGGGCUUAACCUGGGAACCGCAUUUGUGACUGCAUAGCUGGAGUACGGCAGAGGGGGAUGGAAUUCCGCGUGUAGCAGUGAAAUGCGUAGAUAUGCGGAGGAACACCGAUGGCGAAGGCAGUCCCCUGGGCCUGUACUGACGCUCAUGCACGAAAGCGUGGGGAGCAAACAGG
rnacentral:rRNA from 1 species